rnacentral:rRNA from 1 species
AAUAGAUACCCGGGUAGUCCACGCCCUAAACGAUGCUCACUAGGUGUUGGGGAAGCGAUUCCUUGGUACCGUAGCUAACGCGUGAAGUGAGCCGCCUGGGGAGUACGGCCGCAAGGUUAAAACUCAAAGGAAUUGACGGGGACCCGCACAAGCGGUGGAUGAUGUGGAUUAAUUCGAUGCAACGCGAACAACCUUACCUACCCUUGACAUGUCCGGAAGCCUGCUGAAAGGUGGGUGUGCUCGAAAGAGAACCGGAACACAGGUGCUGCAUGGCUGUCGUCAGCUCGUGUCGUGAGAUGUUGGGUUAAGUCCCGCAACGAGCGCAACUCUUGUCCCUAGUUGCUACGCAAGGGCACUCUAGGGAGACUGCCGGUGACAAACCGGAGGAAGGUGGGGAUGACGUCAAGUCCUCAUGGCCCUUAUGGGUAGGGCUUCACACGUCAUACAAUGGACGGUACAGAGGGUUGCCAACCCGCGAGGGGAGCCAAUCCCAGAAAGCCGUUCGUAGUCCGGAUCGCAGUCUGCAACUCGACUG